GAUGAAGAACGCAGCGAAAUGCGAUAAGUAAUGUGAAUUGCAGAAUUCAGUGAAUCAUCGAAUCUUUGAACGCACAUUGCGCCCCUUGGUAUUCCGAGGGGCAUGCCUGUUCGAGCGUCAUUAUAACCCCUCAAGCUCAGCUUGGUGUUGGGGCCUGCUGCACUGGCAGCCCUUAAAAUCAGUGGCGGCGCCAUCUGGCUCUAAGCGUAGUAAUUCUUCUCGCUAUGGAGUCCUGGUGGAUGCUUGCCAUCAACCCCCAAUUUUUCUAUGGUUGACCUCGAAUCAGGCAGGGAUACCCGCUGAACUUAAGCAUAUCAAUAAGCGGAGGA
rnacentral:misc_RNA from 1 species